GGCCCCAGGCCACGUUUCUGGGGGAGGAGAAGCGCCGCGGGUGGACACGCUCGGCCGCAGGCCCGCCGGGGACCUUCGUGUCUGGAGAAGGCGGCCCAAGAUCCCUCUGAUGGGAGCAGCUCUGGCCGAGCCUCGGAGGGUCGGCCAUGCCUGCUCGGGAAUGGCCUUGCAGAAAUGCCCUGGCCUAACCUAGUUGCCUCCUCUGACCGCGGUGGGAUGGGGUUAGGGCUGAAGUGUCCUCCAUCUCACACCCCCCCCCACCACCACCACCUCAAAGAGGAUAUCUGUCCAAGUAUCGAAGAAUUUGAGAGGCUGAGUAAACAGGGUGGGUGGCCGUCCAGUGAAGGUGAGGGGAGUGGUAGGAAGAAGAAAGGAAACACAAAAAGAAGGAAGGAAAAUCCUAACCCUGCCAAGGACCUAACCGCAGUCCUUGCAAAGCCACAGCUCAGCAACUGAUGCCAGCCCCGGGAGGGGGUGCCCAGGUCUCAUCUUGCAGGCAGGAGCACAACAGCUGGGUGCUCAGAACCCGUCCGGAUCUGCGCAGAGCUGUUUGUCAGUGCGGCCUCCCAGGACCACGUGAGCUGCCUCUCACCCCAUGUGACCCUCCUUCAGACCCCGGCAGAGCAGAGCUCCCGGCCCCCUUCCCCUCGUGCACAGCCUUCUCCCAAGUGUGCAGGAACACCAACGGUUGCAGCUAUAAUCAUGGACCUCCUCCAGUAAUAAGUGUCUCCCCAGCCGGAUCAUGCUGUCUCCUGCCUGACCCGGACCAGUGCCUGGUGUUGUGUGCUGCCCACUGCAGAGACCAGACGUUGGCGACCACAGAAGACAUCUGGCAAGUCUAGAAAAUGGUGAACAGCUAACAUUUAAUAAGCAUUUACUAUGUGCCAGGAAUUUUCCUGAGCUCCUUAACAUGCUCCUUACUUGCCUCAUUUCAUCCUCGAAGCAGCCUUAGGAGGCAGAGCUGAUGAUUACCUCCCUUUCCAAGUCAUUGCAGAUAUCAUUAAGAAUCCUGAGAUGAGGUCAUCCUGGAUUAUCUGUCUGUGUCCUAAAUCCAAUGACAAGUGUCCUUGUAAAAAGUAGAAGAGGAGAAUUCACAAACACAGAGGAGAAAGCCAAUGAAGACAGAGACAGAGUCUGAAGCUAUGCAGCCAAAGAAAGCCUGGAGCCACCAGAAGCUGGAAGGGAAACUUUGGAGAGAAUGCAGCCCUGAGGACAACUUGACCUUGGAUUUUUUGCUCCCAGAACUGUGAGAAAAUUCAUUUCUGUUGUUUUAAGCCACCCAGUUUGUGGUAAUUUGUUUCAAGAGUUACAGGAAAUUAAUAACAAGGACCAAGUGCAAACCACAGCCCAUCUGCACCCCAAAAGGAAAAGGAAAAGAUAAGGGGCCAUGGUUUGAAGUGGCGAAGGCAGAGAGAAAUGAAACUCAAAGGAUCGAUGAAGGACUUUCAUCGAUUGCUGCAUGUGACGGAGCGGGUUGUGCACUGCAUAGCGCUGGGUGUCAUAUACAGCAUGGUUGCAGAUCUGAGUAUUUAUUGCUUGGUUUUUCUCUGCAGGCGUCAGUAAGGUGUCUCAAGGAAGGGGUGCCUCUUAAUAAAGCAUACAAAAUUA